rnacentral:sRNA from 1 species
GCGGCCGCCGCCGAGUCGUGCUCAAGCGCCUCGGCUCGCAGCGCGAGCUGGCGCAGCUCGACCAGAGCAUCUGCAAGCGGGCCACCGGCCGGCCCCGCUGCGACCUGCUGCAGGCCAUGCCCCGGACCGAGUUCGCGCGCCUCAACGGCGACGUGCGUCUCCUCACGCCCGAGGCGGUGGAAGGCUGGUCGGACCUGGUGCACUGCCCCUCGCAGCGCCUUCUCGACCGCCUGGUGCGCCGCUACGCGGAGACCAAGGACUCGGGCAGCUUCCUGCUCCGCAACCUCAAGGACUCGGAACGCAUGCAGCUGCUGCUGACCCUGGCCUUCAACCCUGAGCCGCUGGUGCUACAGCAUAUUCCUCCAACACACCCUCCAUACUUCUGUGUCCCCGAUGGCAACUAUAGGAGUGGCUGGAGCUACAUCAAACUGUGUCCAUCAUUUGAGUGUCUUACUGAAACCUAUGCUGCCCUGCCCUUCAACAGAAAUUAUGUCAAGUGGUGGAGACAGAUAACAGAGAACAAGCAAGUCAGAAGA